rnacentral:rRNA from 1 species
CACGUAGGCACCAAGCGUUGUCCGGAUUUAUUGGGCGUAAAGAGCUCGUAGGCGGUUCGGUAAGUCGGGUGUGAAAACUCUGGGCUCAACCCAGAGCCGCCACCCGAUACUGCUGUGACUUGAGUUCGGUAGGGGAGCGGGGAAUUCCUGGUGUAGCGGUGAAAUGCGCAGAUAUCAGGAGGAACACCAGUGGCGAAGGCGCCGCUCUGGGCCGAGACUGACGCUGAGACGCGAAAGCGUGGGGAGCGAACAGG